AUUGGACCUUGUGCUAUGCUCCAA
rnacentral:siRNA from 1 species